rfam:Oceanobacillus oncorhynchi strain Oc5 genome assembly, contig: CONTIG000001
CAUAGAGGAACUUCUGUUAAGAGCGCCCACGUCCUGUGGGCAACGCAGAAGUCACCACUUCCUGUGAA